GUGCUUAACACAUGCAAGUCACGGGGGCCCGCAAGGGUAACCGGCGAACGGGUGCGUAACACGUGAGCAAGCUUCCGAUUUGUGGGGGAUAGCCGGCCCAACGGCCGGGUAAUACCGCAUACGUUCACCGAGCGGCAUCGCUUGGUGAGGAAACCUCCGGGGCAAAUCGAGGUGCUCGCGGCCUAUCAGCUAGUUGGUGAGGUAACGGCUCACCAAGGCGACGACGGGUAGCUGGUCUGAGAGGAUGGCCAGCCACAUUGGGACUGCGACACGGCCCAGACUCCUACGGGAGGCAGCAGUGGGGAAUAUUGCGCAAUGGACGAAAGUCUGACGCAGCGACGCCGCGUGUGGGAUGAAGCCUUUCGGGGCGUAAACCACUGUUGCCCGGGACGAACCUCCCCAUUCGUGGGGACUGACGGUACCGGGUGAGGAAGCACCGGCUAACUCUGUGCCAGCAGCCGCGGUAAUACAGAGGGUGCGAGCGUUGUCCGGAAUCACUGGGCGUAAAGGGCGCGUAGGUGGCUUGGUAAGCGUGUGGUGAAAGUCCGGGGCUCAACCCCGGAUCUGCCGUGCGAACUGCCGAGCUUGAGCGAUGUAGAGGCAGGUGGAAUUUCGGGUGUAGCGGUGGAAUGCGUAGAGAUCCGAAAGAACACCAGUGGCGAAGGCGGCCUGCUGGGCAUUUGCUGACACUGAGGCGCGACAGCGUGGGGAGCAAACAGGAUUAGAUACCCUGGUAGUCCACGCCGUAAACGAUGGGUACUAGGUGUCUGGGGGAGCGACCCCCUGGGUGCCGACGCUAACGCAUGAAGUAUCCCGCCUGGGAGUACGGCCGCAAGGCUGAAACUCAAAGGAAUUGACGG
rnacentral:rRNA from 1 species